GGACCUGAUGCUCUGUAGGGUGAGCGUUAGGGUUAAAAUCCCUAAAGGUCGGAGGUUCGAUUCCUCCCAGGUCCA
rnacentral:tRNA from 1 species